rnacentral:rRNA from 1 species
UACGUAGGGUGCGAGCGUUAAUCGGAAUUACUGGGCGUAAAGCGUGCGCAGGCGGUUCGUUGUGUCGGCGGUGAAAGCCCCGGGCUUAACCUGGGAAUGGCCGUUGAAAAUGGCGAACUGGAGUGUGGCAGAGGGGGGUGGAAUUCCGCGUGUAGCAGUGAAAUGCGUAGAGAUAUGGAGGAACACCGAUGGCGAAGGCAGCCUCCUGGACCAAUAUUGACGCUCAGGCACGAAAGCGUGGGGAGCAAACAGG